UGGUGGGUGACUCGGUUGAGAGCGGCAGUGAAAGGUGAAAGAGAAACACCCCAACGGCCUCAUAGAAAAAGCCCCCCAAAUCCAAGAUGGUUCUGAACUGAGCAGAUUUCCUCUGGCCCCAGGGUGGGAGAGAUUUGGAACCCACACUUCUGAGACGCAUUGAGACUGAGGGCUUCCAUCUGCCUCCCUGAGACUCCAGCCCUACAGAGAACAUGGAGCCUGGGACGUCAGCAGCCAACCUCUGGAGGACAAGCAGACUCCAUCUGGACCUGUAGGGCACUGCCCCCAGCCUCACCACCAUGGCACGUGGUUUCACAGUGGGCUUUGACCCAUUGGGUCUAGGAGAACUCAGCUCUGGUUCUCUGAGCUCCCUCUCCUCCCGAGGCCACCUGGGCAGCGACCCAGGCUCCACAGCAACACGAUACUUGCUGAGGAAGCAGCAGCGCCUGCUGAAUGGGCCCCCCCGCGGAAUCCGAGCCUCAUCACCCAUGGGCCGAGUCAUCCUCAUCAACUCCCCCAUUGAAGCCAACAGUGAUGAAAGUGACAUCAUCCAUGCAGUUCGGGUGGAGAAGAGCCCCUCUGGGAGGCUAGGUUUCAGCGUGAGAGGCGGCUCCGAGCAUGGCCUGGGCAUCUUCGUCAGCAGGGUGGAGGAGGGGAGCAGUGCAGAGCGGGCUGGCCUGUGUGUGGGGGACAAGAUCACGGAGGUGAAUGGGCUGAGUCUAGAAAGUACCACGAUGGGCAGUGCUGUGAGGCUGCUGACCAGCAGCAGCUGCCUGCACAUGAUGGUGCGGCGCAUGGGCCGUGUGCCUGGCAUCAAGUUCUCCAAGGAGAAGACCACGUGGGUGGAUGUAGUGAACCGGCGGCUAGUGGUGGAGAAGUGCAGUUCCACACCAUCGGACAGCAGCUCAGAAGACGGUGUGCGGCGUAUCGUCCACCUCUACACAACCUCUGACGACUUCUGCCUAGGCUUCAACAUCCGCGGGGGCAAGGAGUUUGGCCUGGGCAUCUAUGUAUCUAAAGUGGAUCACGGUGGGCUGGCUGAGGAGAAUGGCAUUAAAGUGGGAGACCAGGUCCUGGCGGCCAAUGGGGUCAGGUUCGAUGACAUCAGCCACAGCCAGGCCGUGGAGGUGCUGAAGGGCCAAACGCACAUAAUGCUGACCAUCAAGGAGACGGGCCGGUACCCUGCCUACAAAGAGAUGGUUUCUGAGUACUGCUGGCUGGACAGAUUGAGCAGUGGGGUGCUGCAGCAGCUGUCCCCAGCCUCGGAGAGUGGCUCCAGUGUCUCCUCCUACGCCUCCAGUGCCCCGUGCAGCUCAGGCUCACUACCCUCUGACCGCAUGGACGUCUGCCUAGGGCCCGAGGAGCCCGGUGGCCAUGGCCCAGGCUGGGGGCGGGCAGACACGGCCAUGCAGACUGAGCCUGAUAUGGGCAGCCGAGUGGAAACUUGGUGCAGUGUACGGCCGACCGUCAUCCUCAGGGACACGGCCAUCCGCUCUGAUGGUCCCUCUUCUGUCCGACGCCUUGAUUCUGCACUGUCAGAGUCGCCCAAGACGGCUCUGCUGCUGGCCCUCAGCCGACCCAGGCCUCCCAUCACCCGAUCCCAGAGCCACCUGACACUGUGGGAGGAGAAGAAACAGCGGAAGAAGGAGAAGUCAGGGUCCCCUGGGGAGAAGGGGGCCUUGCAGCGCUCCAAGACGCUGAUGAACCUCUUCUUCAAGGGAGGGCGGCAGGGGCGGCCAGCAGGGGACGGGCAUAGAGAGGCCUGGACACUGGACAGCAGAAGCCCCACCAAAGUCCGCCCUCGCCUGGACCUGGAGAAAGGUAGGCGCUGGAAUCCAUCCAGCAGUUCCAGGUUGAAAUCUCACCCUACCCCGCCACUCACCCUCACAAGUAAAACGGAAGGGUUAAAACUCAUUUCUUGCCAGGCAUGGUUGAGCACGCCUUUAAUCUCAGCACUGGGGAGGCAGAGGCAGGCGGAUCUCUGAGUUCGAGGCCAGCCUGGUCUAUAGGGUGAGAUCCAGGACAGUCAGGGCAACACAGAGAAACCCUGUCUCAAAAAAAAAAAAAAAUCUGUAGAACUCGUUUCUUUGGGCAUAUAGAAAAUCAGAGAAUGAGUGACUGUAAGUCAGCACCUUGUCUAGGUCCUACAAGGUGCUCCGGAAGUCGGGUGGCCAUUGUCAUCCUGUCAUCUUCCAUCUCCUCAGAAAGGUGAAAUGACAGACUCAGGCACAGCAAGAAGUGACUGAGCUCAGUUUGGAGUCCCGUGCUUUGGUGGUGGUGGCGAUGGAAGUACCUUUGCUAGGGCUCCUGGCUUCACACCCUCCAUCCAGAGCUCCACAGGCCCAACCCCGUUCUAGAACUGUCCCCAAGGAAAGCCACUGCUCAGUCAGGGCUCAGACGGAAAGGACUCAAACGGAGACACCGUCCCCAUCCCAUUAGUCAUGAUGAUUGACCCUUCAGGCCCCAGGCCUGCUAGGCAAGCACUGUUCCGCGGGUUCCAGCCCCAGCCCCAGGCAGUUUUCCUAAGGACCUGUCAGCCCUGUCGAGGCUCCAGGCCCAACAUGGAUGAGGGAAAACUCACAAUUGCAUGGGACAGAAACUCGAGUCCAGUUGGCUUUAGAGUGCUUCUAGGCUCAGCUCCUGACGUUAGCCCAUCUGAAGGAACAAUACCUAAGCAGACAUAUCUCCCUCAGGCAUGUGCCUCCACCUUAGAAGGCUUUGCCAACUUGAAGGUGAGAUGGCCAUUGUCCCUUAGCGCCCCUGGACAGGAGGGAGUUUUUGUUGUUUGGGCUUGUUUUAUAUUAUUAUUGGUUUUUCAAGACAGGGUUUCUCUGUGUAACAGCCCUGGCUGUCCUGGAACUCACUUUGUAGACCACGGUGUCCUUCAACUCCCAGAGAUCCACCUGUCUCUGGCUCCCAAGUGUUGGAAUUAAAGGCGUGCGCCACCACACCUGACCUACAGGGAGAUUUGUAAACAGUUCCAGCUGAAGGGUCAGCCAGGGCUCUCUCUGCCUCCUGGGGUCAUCUGUCAUGCUGAGCAGACCACUGUGACGUGAGUGGAAGAACAAGACAGGAGCUCCCGGUAGAUAGGUGAUUUUGCUGCUCACCCUGGGCCAUGUGCCCAGCCGAGAAUGGAGGGGGUCACCCAGGAGAUAAGCAGGGUGCUGCUUCCAGAAGUGGGAGCGAGCAUCGGGUAGGUGGAAGCAAGCAGAGGAUGAGAAGCUGGAUGUUGCUCCGCCUUAGAGCCAAGUGUCCAGAGGCCUCAGGGUGACUGUCCAGUCGAGGCAGAGGCAGCCCUCGCCUCACCUCUUUCUCUUCUCACAGUUCCCAGGUUGUUUUCUCACGGUUCUCAGCCCACCUCUCUGGCCCCUCCCCUCUCUGUUUCCAAGGCUCCUCCUUCCCCCUCUGUCUCUGCAAGGUAGGUACCACCAAGCUCUGUCCUUGGGGUUCUUCCCUGCCUUCCUUUCCAAAUGAAUCUCCGUAAGCAGUGUGUUCAUACUGCCUCCUCUCCUGGCCCACCACCUUCACUGACCUCUCCCCCGCUCCCACUGCCCAUGAAUGAAGUCCCUAACUGGGCCUGACCUUGAAGGCCCACAAAGGCACUUGUACCCACCCUGACUACUUCUAACGGGAACUCUGGUUCCAGCUGAACUGAACCUCUUUCUUCUUUACAGCAGGGAGCGUGGGGCCUGUGCAGAAGUUUGUCACCUGGAGACUGAGACGUGGUAAAUCCAGUAUCCCAAGGUCCCCACAGUAAAGCAACAGAUGGGGGAAUGCGGGAACAGGCUGGGGCCAGCUUAUCGACUUUGAUCGAGACUCCUCUAGAGCUGAGCCUGUGGUAUCAGGCAGAGAACAUGAACGGGAGAGGGGCCGGGCCCUGCUCUCUGCCAGGUCCGGAAGCCCCUCUGGCCAGCUGCCCAAUGUGGAUGAGCAGGUGCAGGCCUGGGAAAGUCGACGGCCCCUCAUUCAGGACCUGGCCCGGCGGCUGCUGACGGACGAUGAGGUGCUAGCAGUCACUCGACACUGCUCCCGGGUGAGUCUCUGCCCAAGGCCCAGCCCCUCAUUCCAGGCCGCUGUCCACUGGCCAGUUCCUGGGAGGUCAAUGUCAGUCAGUAAGCUCCCACGCAGGAAGAAAAGAUAGACAAUAAUUAGAAUCUAAAUUCCCCGAGUGACCAGUCAUGCAGAGCACUGUGAAAGACAGACGUGGGUAACCCAGGAGAUCUGGGAAGGCCUCUCAGAGGAGGUGACAUUUAAGCUGAGGAGAUGAGGAAGACAGAUGAUGAGUGGGAGGCUUCACAGGCAACUGACUGUCCCCCUCUAAACCCUGACUUGUCCCCCAUCUCCCUUCUAUCCCUGCGGCAGGUUUUCCUGGGCUCCCAUCUCAAUCCUCCCCCAAUACUUACACUCUUUUAUUUCCUUUCUCUUCAACCAGUUGCAGAGGGUCCCAGUGUCUGUGGGUGUCAGUUUUAGAGGACUCCCUGGGCCUAAGUGUUGGGGAGGCUGUGGCGUGCUACUCACCCCUCCAGGACAACUGGAACAUCCUUUACUAUCAUUCUCUCAGGGACCCCAAGGGUCCUGGGGUGGGUUCUCUGUAGGGAACAUGCGUUAGUGCACACUGUGGGCAAGCUGAGCCAUUUUAGAAAAUCACUUCUGCCUUCACCUGGUUCAUGAUGGGGCUGUGUGUGCAUUGUUGUGACGUGUCCAUUGGCAUGUCUAUGGUGUAUUUGGUCUGUGCAUAGCAUGCAUGUAUGUGCCCCUGUAGUAUCACUCAAAGCCUAAGAUGGGGUCAUUCACACAUCCCUUUACCAAGGGCUGGUUUACAACAGAAAUACAGAUGGAGGUUCCUGUCAAGGGCUCUGGGCUAAACUCUGUCCCUCUGUGUUCGGGAACAUUCAGUGGGCUUUGUGGUCUAGCUCCAGAGAGCUUGCAACUCUGAGCUUUGGCCACUAGGAGGGGCCCUGCACCUGUGUCUUUGGCAGACGCCUUUCCCUCAUCCCCCAUUCCCCCUCGACCUCUGCAAACCAGGACUUCGUUUCACCGUGGCUCUAUUUACCCUGUAGGCUCUACAUAAGAUCCGCAUCCAAACCAGUGCCCCACCCUAAACCUUCUGAGAUGGAGCCCGGGCCUGAGGGAUAGGCAAGGCUCCUUCGUGACCACCAAGUGCUGCCCUGAACCUGGCUUCCCGUCUCCUCUCCGAGCCAUCCUUCCACAUCCACCAGACCCAGAAUUACAAGUCAGCCCUCUUACUGCUUUACAGUUCCCUUAUGAGGCAGAACAGAGAACAAGCCGCUUUCUCCCACUUUCUCGGACUUCCACAGUGUGGCAUCUCAACCCGCUAACCCCAGCUUUCCUGGGCCACCACUCAGCUGAUACAAAUUAUAAGCUGCAUAGUUUUAGGGGGUGCUAGUCACAUAGAGCUCAACCUGUGCAGCCCUGUAGGAGGGUCUUCGUGGCCCUUGACCUUCAUUUCCUUGUUAUUCUGCAGGCCCUUGGGACAUUUUCCUCCCCAGGUCCCACGCCGCUCCUUGUCCACUCUGGAAGAGCUGGUGGACUAGCCACCGCUUCUGAGAGGCCGGUUCUGAAACUUCAGCCUUCUCUAAAACCCACGUUGCCCCACUGCAGUGGUUUACAGUUACUGCCGAAUGAGGCUCAUCUGUCCCUUGUUCUGACUUGGGUCCCCGAGGCUCUGGGAGAAGGUCUUAUUAACAUUGUGCCUCUAACAGUGGAUGCUGAAUUCAUGCUUGAGGGACAUGCACAUAUAUGGCAGCGUAUUGUUGAUAUGAGUCCCUGUAACUGUGUGUGUGGUUUAAGGACACACACACACACACUUUAUUCUUUAUCUAUUGUUAAAUAUUUAUUGAUGAUUCACUCAGA